rnacentral:lncRNA from 1 species
CUCCAGAACAAAGGGAAGACAGGCCUGUGGAGGAGCCGCCGCCGAGCAUGGGAACCCAGGAAAGACCGCUGGAGUGUAAUGUCAAGAUCUCCGCUCACUACAACCUCCGCCUCCUGGGUUCAAGGGAUUCUCCUGCCUCAGCCUCCUGAGUAGCUGGGAUUACAGGCACACACCACCGCAACCAGCUAAUUUUUGUAUUUUUAGUAGAGAUGGGGUUUCACCACGUUGGUCAGGCUGGUCUCGAACUCCUGACCCCAAGUGACCUGUUCGCCUCAGCCUCCCAAAGUGCUAGGAUUACAAGCGUGAGCCACCACGCCCGGCCCAGACUUCUUUCUAUGUCUUAUUUUGGGGAAACAAGCAAGCGUAAUAAUGGUUACGUCCAGCAAUUUCAAGACAUUAUUGCCCUGACCCAUAAAGCAAUUCCUGUUUUUCCUCCAGUACUCAGCCACGGAUUCAAAAGCAAGUGCUGUGUCCUCUAACCGUCUGUCCUACUUGACUGACCAGGAACUAAAUCUGCAGAGAGCACUGGCAAAUUCUCCCUCCCCUAAAUACUAAUAACCCUGCCUCCUAUAUUGGAAAGUCACCUAUAAAUAUUGAUCACUAAUAUUAGCUAGUCAUGUCUACAAUCUGUACACAAACAUUUUGGCAAUUUCUCUGUAGAAUAAAGAAACUGGGCGCUUGAAACU